rnacentral:piRNA from 1 species
UGCAACGUGAGUCCUGACUGAGCCCC